GUGCCAUAGGGACAAACUGGUCCCUAAAUUAUUUACCAUCCAUUUUGUAGAUCUUCAACUAUAUUUUUAGUAUGUUUAGUUUGAUCAUUAUGGAUGGGACAUCU